UGAGUAACACGUAUCCAACCUGCCGUCUACUCUUGGACAGCCUUCUGAAAGGAAGAUUAAUACAAGAUGGCAUCAUGAGUCCGCAUGUUCACAUGAUUAAAGGUAUUCCGGUAGACGAUGGGGAUGCGUUCCAUUAGAUAGUAGGCGGGGUAACGGCCCACCUAGUCUUCGAUGGAUAGGGGUUCUGAGAGGAAGGUCCCCCACAUUGGAACUGAGACACGGUCCAG
rnacentral:rRNA from 1 species